UACGUAGGGGGCAAGCGUUGUCCGGAUUUAUUGGGCGUAAAGAGCGUGUAGGCGGCCAGGUAGGUCCGUUGUGAAAACUGGAGGCUUAACCUCCAGCUGUCGAUGGAAACCAUCUGGCUAGAGUCCGGAAGAGGAGAGUGGAAUUCCUGGUGUAGCGGUGAAAUGCGCAGAUAUCAGGAGGAACACCAAUGGCGAAGGCAGCUCACUGGGACGGUAUUGACGCUGAGACGCGAAAGCGUGGGGAGCAAACAGG
rnacentral:rRNA from 1 species